GACGUAGGGCGCGAGCGUUGUCCGGAUUUAUUGGGCGUAAAGAGCUCGUAGGCGGCUUGUCGCGUCGUUCGUGAAAACCUGCAGCUCAACUGCAGGCUUGCGGUCGAUACGGGCAGGCUAGAGUUCGGUAGGGGAGACUGGAAUCCCUGGUGUAGCGGUGAAAUGCGCAGAUAUCAGGAGGAACACCGGUGGCGAAGGCGGGUCUCUGGGCCGAUACUGACGCUGAGGAGCGAAAGCGUGGGGAGCGAACAGG
rnacentral:rRNA from 1 species